AGCCCAAGGCUGACAAGCCAAUGCGCAGCACAGGAAAACUGUGCUGUGCUGUCUUUCCAGCAUACAUCUGACACCUUCGAUAACUAGAGAGCAGCUGGCCCAAAGCCUUAAACGGAUAAAAAGCUCAUGAUCUUUACUGGAAGUAAAUCGCAAACAGCCGCAGAGUUGAGGAAGUGACUGAGAAUCCAGCCAGCACAAUGCCAGGAGACCGCACAUUAAAACAGCCACGCUCUUAUCAGCUGAUACUUACAACAAACCUGUGCAAACCAGGGUAACAAUGCAUUUCCCCCUGGGCUAUGACAAACUGUGUGACAAUCUCUUGCUGGUUUGUAUGUGUCAUUUUCUAAAUGAAUCCCAGAUUUGAGCCAUGAGGAUAGAAGAGAUCCAGAACAAGUCAUUUUGUAAAAUGACGUUCUUUAAGAGGAUACAUGUUUUUAAUGAUUUAUGAGUUUUGCUUUUUAAAGGGAGAUUAGGUGAAGACCUAUUGUUCCCUAAUCUUUUUGUACAAUGCUACAGUGGUAUUCAGACCCUCACACAGUUUCUUAAUUUAAUGCAAUAUUAGUUUCAAGGGUGCCAAAGUUCACCCGUGGCUCUAAAGCUGUGCACCAUUUAGAUGCUGAUAUCUUGUAAGCAGGAUUUGAUUGCGUAAACUACCUCUUUUGGAAAGGACUUAUAGUCCGUCAGUCUGGGCACAUGGUGUACAUACACAGCGAUGAGAAAGGAAGACAAAGCAGAAUUCAGAACAAGUGGAGAGAGGCUGUUUUUUUGGCUACGGUCUCCCUCCCUCGAAUACCUCUUCCUGCUCUCAGAGGAAGCAAUCUCAAACAAUAUGAUUUCCUGUGGACAGCAGGAGCAAGACAUUGAAAUGAGCAGAAGGUGAAAGAGGUGGAGGUCAGAGACGAGCUGCUCCUAUGAACCGUUUCUGGCAAAGCGCCUUUUACUGCCACUGGUUGUCGAUCACACCUGUGCUGCAGGGAUUUACUGCGAUCCACUGUGCCCUUUUCCGAACAGUGCGCCUUGCCUGUGCACCAUCACAGCUGUCAGGUCUGUUUAUAAUCUCAGUGGUAUUGUAAUGGAGGAGUAAUGGAGAAUCUAGUUAUGUGGUAUUCACAAUAGCAAAGUGCGUAAAUGCAACAUUACGUACCCCUGACUUAUUCCCUUUGACGCUGAUCGAAGCGCCUGUGUUUGCACUGAAGGAGCUUCACAGAAGCAAAGUUUAUGGUAGGUGGUGGAGGGAUCCUGUGAUGAACCAAACAAUAAGCUUAGCUUUCUAUGAACCGAAGCAAAAAUGAUGAUGUUUCAGCACUGCAAGGUCAACUCAAACCGGGCUCACUGUGUGCAGCCUUAUUGUAAUUUCCAGUCUGAACAUCAGUCAGGAGGCUGAGACAAGUUAAGAGAAAAGCAGCAGCUACUUCACUGAGAGGUGAUGGCUGCUGCUGUGACUCACUGCAGACCAACAGGAAAAAUGUUGUGUGUUUUCUCUGCCUUGCAACUCAACAAUAAAUCUCGCAGUCUGUGAGAAGCACACCAGCGGUGCCAGAGGGCGGCGGAGCUUGUUUAAGAACCAGUGAGGCUGGUGGCAAGGCCCAAGGCUAGGGAAAUCUUACAGGAACACGGAGCUAUGUUUGUAUUGCUAUAAAUUUAUGCCCACCAGAGUCACCUUGUGUCAUAACACAAAAGAGACAUAGGCACAUUCCCUCAGUUGUGGUUUCUAAAUCUUAGACAAUAAAAUCCUUUUGAUGAUAUUUUACUGAUGAGCUUUAUAAACUACACACUCUUUUUCCAACUCCCCCUCAGCCUGCAGUGUAUCCACAGGCCGGUAACAACAGGGGGCAGGGUUGAUUUAAACUUUCCUUCAGUGAUGUGCACCUUUCAGCACUAAGCCGUGUUUGACAGACUCCGGAUGCUCUCAGGGGAUCAGGAUACACUGGUUGAUCUGCGCUGUCAUCACAAGCACACAGACAGUAACGUGGUGACUUAUACACUUUCCUGGCUCGCUUCCCUCUGAUGGGGCAUUGUUUAGACUACCAUCAGUGGAGGAAAACGUAUGUUGUGCAUUAAGAACAAUCGUGUUAUUUGUGUCUGAAAGGAUUUGCUGAAGAGAUCAGGAAAAGUCAUUUCUUUCCUACGGAAGGACAAAUUUGACCUAAUUGUAUUUUGGAGUUACCAGCAUACAAAAGCCUUUUAACUGAAUAGCCAAACUAGGGAAGAAAAUGCUCAUGUGCGUUAUUUGAAGAUAUUUAAUCAGCAGCUAUAAAUCCUGAUGCAUUUGUAAAUCCUCUGUAAUGAGCUGCAUGUGCUAAGAUGCUUUUCUAGUGUCAGAAAUGUGAUCGGUGCUGGGAAAAAACAAAACAAUCCAUUAGGAUAACGCUGCACAGAUUACUGCAGUAAAAAGUUAAAUAAACAGCAAGACACUAAUGUUGCACAUUGUGUUUUAGGCACCUAAUUGUUUUAACAUGAACCAGAGUUAGGGCUGUUAUGCUUUUAAUUCAAUUUUAAAUCUCAAAAUUAUGAUAUAUUGUAGUGAUAUUCUUCUCUAUCACAUCCUCUAACUAGGUAGAGCAUACAAUAAAACUUUAUUUUCUGAAGUUUUUGUUUGACUCUUGUCACUGUUUUACUCUGUGACCUUGGUUGAAUUGUGUUGUGUUGUGUUCCUCUCAUUGAAACAGCCUCAGUAUAGCUUUACUACAGAACCGCCAUAUGUUAAAAAACAGUACAUACAAGUUUCCUGAGGCUUAUUUCAGUGAGAUAUCAAUAGCAUAGUGGAUGCCAAGCAUAUACAAUUUGAAGUCACUCACAGUUGGUUAUUUUUACUCUCUCGCACUAUUUUUCCCAGUUACAAUGCACACACAUAUUUAUUUUUCUAAUGCUUGAACUUUAACACGUCUUCAGAGUCAGUCCCAGUCCUGCAGCAGCUGUUUGGGUUAGGGACUUGUCCCUGGAGUGCCAGGAUUACAAUCGAGGAUGAGCGUGUUUAAGUUUAGCUAUAGUGGCACGCUGGCUGGGGUUAGAUUGGGGUAGGGUGACCUACAAAGUGGAUCUGAUUUGGCACGAGAGCGAGAAUUCUUCGCUCUCAUGUGAGUCACCUGUUGCCACUUCUUACAGACCCGCACGGGUCUGGGCUCCCAUAUAUCAGUCACACCAGCAGAAGCCAGCAGGCCGAUGUGCUGUCUGCUACCUUACAUGGCUGUCUGGCUCUUCAUCUACCCACUGCUGUACACAGACCCACAGCCCUGUUAUGAUCUAUUGUUGUGCUGCAUAUGGCAUUACGCUGGAACCUUCAGGCCAGGAGGCGGCAAGGUGUUUCAGGGAGCAAAACAACCUCCUAACAAACUCCUGAUCGUGAAAAGCAGUUUUAUCUAUUUUUAUUUUGGUGUUUACUUAUUUGAAGACAGUCUUUAUACUCAGUAAUACAUAUAACAUUCAGCCUUGGCAAAGGGCACUGCUUUCAGAUUAGCGAGCUGGUAAUCUUUUAUCUUUUACUGGCAGGUUUUUAAACAAAUCUCUUUUUUUAUGAUGGCAGAGGGAGUCUGGAUUCACACUAAGCCAUGCUAAUGGCUACUUUUAAGUGUGGAUGUAUCAGCUGUUGGUGCUUCAAUGUCAAACAGAGGAACACUGAUACAGAUUUAGGUUGAAUAUCCUGCUGAAAUCACAGAGUAAGACCUUUGCUUUUUUUUUUUUUUUUACUGAGCAUCACAUGAAGUUAUAAAUCUGUUAUUUUGAAAUAUGAAGUCCUAAAAGUUCAUAUUUUAUACAUAGAAACUGCACCUUUUUGGGAGUAAGUUAAAAAAAUUUACAGUUCAUCUUUGAAAAAAAUCCCAAAAUAGUAAGUAAAGGAGAAAAAACGCCCCAAACUGUAUCAUUACAACAUUAAAUACCGCCUGUGUAUUUAAGAGGCCUCUUUGAUUAUAUGAAAGACUUGCUUAUAAUAGAGCAGUUGUGCUCAGUAGCACUGAUACUAAAGAAUUUAAAUGUCUUCCACCGUUGUUAAGGCAUCAGCUCAUAGAAAGCCUGCUUGAACAAAAGAGUCCUUUAGUUUUUUUUGGUUUUUUUACAUCUGUAUUUCUCUAUGAACACUCAGAAGAGUAACUGGUAUCUACAGGCAACUCAUUAAUUUGAUUUUAUCACUUCUCUGUAGAAAAACAGAAACUGUAAGGGUAAAUUGUGCUGGCAUUAAAUCAGAAUUACCAUGGCACAGGGAUAACGAUUUCUUAAAGUCUUCAUUGAGUAGGUAUGCAUUGCUGGUGGCUCUAUGCUUUAGGUUCCCCCCAGUGCUGUGCCUUGUUUGAGUAUAUUUGUCUUAUAUGGAAGCCAUGAGGGAAGAAGAGCGAGAUGAAAAGAGUUAACGCGAGUGGGUUGACAGCUGUACCUGCUGGGGAGGACAGGGAGUUUAACACAGACCAGGCCUCCCACUCCAUCGUACCUCUCUUCAAGAUAUCAUCACUCCCUUAAAGACUUCAUCGCUGCUUUGUGCCGAUAUUCGAGAAGCUGCUUUCAAUCAGGCAGAGAUGGUCCCUCAGAGGAACAAAGUCUUCCUUAAGUUAGCAGACAGAUGGCAGGUGUUGAUGCAGAUGACCACAGCGCGAUCGUAGGACCACCUUCUUGUGGACAUCAGCAGAAGAUGACUCUUGACGGCGGCAUCUGAGCGUUGUGUCUUCCCACCACGAGCUGUUUGUCCACACAGGGGGCAUGAGAAGAAAAAGCAGGGCAUCACGAGAGAGUGUUUCCCCCAUGGACCUCCCUUCUCUUUCCCUCUCUCUCUCUCGCUUCCUCCUCCUCCAUCUCCUCCUCUUCCUCUCCACACUCCCCCUUAAUUCUUACAUCCCUGGUGCUCUAUUUUUUGCUGGGAAGCGUUCUCUGGAAGGGGAAGUUGAAUUGUUUGUCUGGGAUCAAUGGCAAUUCCUGUCAGAGUAAACUUCAAGACAGUUAUUUACACUGUGCCUCUUGGGUUUACUGCUGAGUUUUCUGUGUUCAGGGUGAAAUUCCCACAGUGUGAGAUGUAAACUGUACUGAGGUCCUUUUGACGGUGACUUGGGUAUCCAGGUUUUGAUCUUGUAAAUCCAAAUUAUUGUGUGAAAAUGGAAUUAGCUUUAAUUCGACGACCAACAGCUUUACUCUAAGUUGUGUUUUCAGGAAACCAGUAAACACAGGAGAAUCGGUCACAAGAUUUCGGUCAAAAUACUGUACCUGCUUUGUUCAUUUGUUCGUCUCAAGGUUUCCCUUCAUCCCCCCUCAAAUGUCACACAGGCCUGCAACCAGUUGGUGAAGUUUGGGAUUGCAACAAAGAGCCACAAACAAAACCAAAAUAGCUCAUCCUCCUCCUCUUCCCUUGUUUCCCUGUUUGCUGAAUGUAAUGUGAGUGUCAGCCGAGGACCCCCUGUACUGGCAUCUGCCUGCAGAUACAUGUUCUAUUAUAUAACAGGAAUCUUUUAGGUUUAAUUCCUCCUUGCUGAAGGCCAUUCAAAUGGUUAUAAUGAAGUAGUGAGAGCAAAAACGCACAGGCAGAUAACUUCCCUUCUCUCAUGUCCUUAACGUGUUUCAGAUACACUCAGGUUUCCCACCACUUCACAUUUCGUUUUAAAAAUAAUACUAGGUCAUUUAGGAAAAUACAUGUACUUUAUGUGGAACUAUACCCAUUAUGCAGUGGUAGCGUCAUAGAAAAUGUAACAGCAACACCAGACUCGUUAGCUUGGCUUGCAGGAAGUUACUGCACCUGGCCAGGAAAUAAUCUGCCUCGUACCCACGCCUAUAACCACAACAGGGAGGAAUGAAGAUUAAACAGGUCCUGCAAUCAGACGAGAAGUUAUUUGCUGUGAACAGAGAGGAGCUUCUGGGGACAAUUUACAAGGUUUACCUGAACUUGGUUAUCGAUGAGAAGAUUUUAUUGUUAAAUUUACAAUAGGUCUACAUACAGAGUUUUAAAUGUAAUGUUUUGUAGGGUUUGUUAUGUUGAAUCAAGUUGUCGUAACUUAUUUCAUACUAGUCUCUCACAAAGAUUGCAGAGUGGAUCCACUCUGCAAUAUGCUUGAGCUUUAACUCAAGGUAUAAGACAGACAACCAUUUGCACCUAAUUUAGAGUUACUAAUUAUCCCUACUAAAUGCAUGUCUUUGAACUGUGGGAAGAAGCAGGAGUACCUGGAGAGAGCCCACACAAACAUAAGGAGAACAUGCAAACUCCACACAGAAAGACCCCGGCCUGAUGAAUUGAACUCAGGACCUUCUUGCUGUAAGGCAACAGUGCCACCAUGCUGCCCAAGAUGAAGUGAUUUCAUACGUUGUUUAUGAUAAGUAGGACCUCUAAGCACGCAGAUAAUUUGUAUACAAUUCUGAUCUGAUGUGAUUUGAUUGUUGGUUUUAUCUCUGAAAUUGUAUAUGUCGCAUUUUGUGUUAUCUUUUCUUUACUUUGUUGACCUGUGUGACCUGACUUUCCUUCUUAACUCUUCAGGAUUUGUCAAAAGGUUGUCAGCUGCACCUUCACAUUUAAUACUUGGGCUCUUGACAAGAAAGCAAAUAGGAUUAUUUACCAAAAUGUCAAACUUUUCUUUUACAGAGCAGUUUCCACCGACCUUGUUAUUUUAUGCAAAGACUCCCAUAACUUCUUAAUUACUGAUUUGGGCCUCUUAUCCCUGCCAAUUUCAUGGCCUAAAUCGUCAUAUGAAUGGUUAAAUUCUCCUCUUUAACAACUGUGCCUUUGACUGUGGAACUGGGAAAAUCUUUAAGUAUAAAUAGCAGGGGCACCAAGUAAGAAGGAUCUCGUGACAAACUCUGGCCAGGAGGUAUGACCUUGGAACCUCUGCUGUACCCCUGCCCAUAUACAUAUAUACAGUAUGGCCAUAUAUAUGUUUUAUAUUAGUUUUAUAUAAGUCUGUUCUUUUCCACUCUUUGCAUGCAAGCUUAAUUUAAAGAAAUGUGUCUGGGUGUAAUGUUUCUGAAUAUUUCUUCUUUCCUUCUUCAUUUUUCAAAGGAUCCUGGUCAUUAAUGAAAUAACUUACUUUUUUUUUCGGCAUUUCCUUAAACAAAAGCCCCUGGAGUAUCUAACACCACUAAAAGGCUUCAGUCAGUUUCACUCAGUUUUUUGAAGGGAUGGAAAAGUUGUUGCUAAUUCCUAAUUACGAAGCUUUCCACAGUUUAAAGGAUGUACUCUGAUGUUUCCAUUGUGUUGAACAUCAGGAUGGAUUUAGAAGCGGAACAGCAUUCACAUCCAAUUACAGCAUGAAGAGAUUUGUAACAAAGAAGUGUAGUCCAUGACUUAAAGUAAUCUUGUCGCUUAGAGCUUCUCAGUAGUGCCAGGAUGAGGUCUGGACGUGAGUGUAUGUGUGACAGUGAGCUCAAGAGCAGGAGAGGAUUGCAUUAUAUGAAUUUGUAUGAGUGAGCGUAGUAUGUAGAAUUUGUACUUGAGUGUUUGAUGGAAAAAUCCCACACUGCCAGGAUGCAUUAAUGUAACCCUCCCCAACAGCCUGAGAGUCUGACCCCUGCACAUUUCAGCCCUGCCUCACCCAAGUCCAAGGGAAGCCAUGCUUGAUGGACAUGUACUCCUGAAUGGUCAUCACAACCUUAUGUGCACCCUCUAACUGGUAUUUGGAAUCCACAGUGGGGAAUUCUCAACACAGAAAGUCAAGGUUGUUUUAUGUAAUUAAAAUAAUUAUAUGCAGUUUUAUGUACGCCAGACAUGUCAAGUGCGAAUCCUGCCAUGUGUGCCGAUGAACUCCACAUCACCGCAGAUCUAGCUUUUAAACUGUGAGUUCAUAACCGACGGAUGGGUCCCUCUAUUCUCAAGCCCAGAAUAUCACUUCCAAAAACAAUUCAAAAUUUCAGAUGAUCAAACCACAGGGCAGUUUACAACUUUGCCUCAGUCCACCCAGUGAAAGUGGUGGUUUUUAUUAAUGUUGUUGAUUUAUUUAUGUAUUUAUUUAUUUAUGAAUGUAAUAAUGAAACAUGUUCCUAAGGUUAUGCCAAGAUUUCCAGCACAGAGUUGUGUCUGGUUUUACAGCCGACGGGGCCAGAAGAUCACAGAGGCUCAAUGAUAAUGUUUUUGAAAUACACAGUGGUGUCACUGACUACCAAUAAACAUAUUUAGCUAUGAUA